AGGUGGAUAAGUUAAAUAUAAACUGUGGGGUUCAUGUCCCCUUAAUAUGUAAUUUUACAUUCUGCUGA
rnacentral:tRNA from 2 species